rnacentral:rRNA from 1 species
GGACGAACGCUGGCGGCGUGCUUAACACAUGCAAGUCGAACGCUGAAGCUCAGCUUUUGUUGGGUGGAUGAGUGGCGAACGGGUGAGUAACACGUGAGUAACCUGCCUCCUUCUUUGGGAUAACGCCCGGAAACGGGUGCUAAUACUGGAUAUUCACUGGUCUUCGCAUGGGGGUUGGUGGAAAGGGUUUUUCUGGUGGGGGAUGGGCUCGCGGCCUAUCAGCUUGUUGGUGGGGUGAUGGCCUACCAAGGCUUUGACGGGUAGCCGGCCUGAGAGGGUGACCGGUCACAUUGGGACUGAGAUACGGCCCAGACUCCUACGGGAGGCAGCAGUGGGGAAUAUUGCACAAUGGGCGCAAGCCUGAUGCAGCGACGCCGCGUGAGGGAUGGAGGCCUUCGGGUUGUGAACCUCUUUCGCUAAUGGUCAAGCCGCAACAAUGGUUGUGGUGAGGGUAGUGGGUAAAGAAGCGCCGGCUAACUACGUG